rnacentral:rRNA from 1 species
UACAGAGGGUGCAAGCGUUAAUCGGAAUUACUGGGCGUAAAGGGUGCGUAGGUGGCAAUGUAAGUAAGAUGUGAAAGCCCCGGGCUUAACCUGGGAAGUGCAUCUUAAACUACAUAGCUAGAGUAUGGUAGAGGGUAGUGGAAUUUCCGGUGUAGCGGUGAAAUGCGUAGAGAUCGGAAGGAACGCCAGUGGUGAAGACGACUACCUGGACCAAUACUGACACUGAGGCACGAGAGCGUGGGGAGCGAACAGG